rnacentral:rRNA from 1 species
GAUGAACGCUGGCGGCGUGCCUAAUACAUGCCAGUCGAGCGAACAGACGAGGAGCUUGCUCCUCUGACGUUAGCGGCGGACGGGUGAGUAACACGUGGAUAACCUACCUAUAAGACUGGGAUAACUUCGGGAAACCGGAGCUAAUACCGGAUAAUAUAUUGAACCGCAUGGUUCAAUAGUGAAAGACGGUUUUGCUGUCACUUAUAGAUGGAUCCGCGCCGCAUUAGCUAGUUGGUAAGGUAACGGCUUACCAAGGCAACGAUGCGUAGCCGACCUGAGAGGGUGAGCGGCCACACUGGAACUGAGAAACGGUCCCGACGCCUACGGGGGGCAGCAGUAGGGAAUCUUCCGCAAUGGGCGAAAGCAUGACGGAGCAACGCCGCGUGAGUGAUGAAGGUCUUCGGAUCGUAAAACUCUGUUAUUAGGGAAGAACAAAUGUGUAAGUAACUAUGCACGUCUUGACGGUACCUAAUCAGAAAGCCACGGCUAACUACGUG